UACGGAGGGAGCUAGCGUUAUCCGGAAUUAUUGGGCGUAAAGAGCUCGUAGGCGGUUUGUCGCGUCUGCUGUGAAAACUGGAGGCUCAACCUCCAGCCUGCAGUGGGUACGGGCAGACUAGAGUGCGGUAGGGGAGAUUGGAAUUCCUGGUGUAGCGGUGGAAUGCGCAGAUAUCAGGAGGAACACCGAUGGCGAAGGCAGAUCUCUGGGCCGUAACUGACGCUGAGGAGCGAAAGCAUGGGGAGCGAACAGG
rnacentral:rRNA from 1 species